rnacentral:rRNA from 1 species
UACGUAGGAGGCAAGCGUUGUCCGGAAUCACUGGGCGUAAAGCGCGUGUAGGUGGUGGGACAAGUCUGCUGUGAAAGCGCCUGGCUUAACCGGGCGAGGUCGGCGGAAACUGUUCGACUCGAGGACGGUAGAGGGGGUGGAAUUCCCGGUGUAGUGGUGAAAUGCGUAGAGAUCGGGAGGAACACCUGUGGCGAAGGCGGCCCCUGGCCGGCCCUGACACUGAGACGCGAAGGCGUGGGGAGCGAACGGG